GAGCCUGCAUGAAGACCAAUUCUCACUCCUACCCUCCUGUUGGGACUAAGUGGCGCUUAGAGGUGUUUUAGGUUCUUCUGCACUUGGGUUUAUGCCUGAGUAUUUCGUAACCUUGUUGCUCUAUUAUUUGGAUGUGAUUUUGGAAUGUGAAUGGUAGAACACAUGGCAUUUAUGUAGGGCCGUGCCAAAAGCAUCAAAGAACACAGGGAUACUAACUUGCGGUAUUAUGUAGUCCAUCUCCCCUGACAAUGCAAGAGCAUUCCCUUCUGGAUAUUUAAGGAGGCUCACAGAUGCCCACAAAAGUCAAUUAACACUAAUGAGAUCAUCCAUGUGUAAACAACGGGUAUGGCUUUCAAGUAUUCCUCCUGCAGCUGGCUGGAAACUUACAGGUUCUGUUUCUGCUUCAACUAGCCGCACACAGCUUGUUUGUGUUCAGUACUUUGGAGAUGUGACAGCCAAAAGGCUGAUUUAUAACUGAAACAUAAUUUAAUUGUAAUAAUAACUACAGUAUGUAGACGGUCAACAAGGUGCUCAAAAGGAGAUCAUUUCCAUGAGCCUUUGAAAAUACAUGGAGAACAAGAAAAUCCUGGAUCUUUUCUUUUUGGGGAUGCUUUGUGUAAUUUUUUUUAAAAAUUUGAACUUGCCUUUGAACUUCAAUGUGAAAAGAUAGGGCUAAGUCCUGCCUUUGGCUCAGCUGCCACUCAAGGAAAAAGGCGUCAACAGAACUGAUGGUUAGCAGCCUUGUGCAUAAUGUGAGCAGCCAGCCAGAAUCCCUCCUGGUGAACAAGAAUGUGCUAGGACAGGGGUCAGCAACCUUUCAGAAGUGAUGUGCUCAGUCCUCAUUUAUUCACUCUAAUUUAAGGUUUCCCAUGCCAGUAAUACAUUUUAACAUUUUUAGAAGGUCUCUUUCUAUAAGUCUAUAAUAUAUAACUAAACUAUUGUUGUAUGUAAAGUAAAUAAGGUUUUUAAAAUGUUAAAGAAGCUUCAUUUAAAAUUAAAUUAAAAUGCAGAGCCCCCCAGACCGGUGGCUAGGACCUGGGCAGUGAGAGUGCCACUAAAAAUUAGCUCACAUGCCAUAGGUUGCCUGCCCCUGUGCUACAAGCUAGGACAAGGCUGUUGCACCAGGUCAUCCCCUGCUGUCUCAGGAGGGCAGGAUUUGCUGUGGACUGGUCACUCCCCUUUCUCGAAGAGAGUGAGCCACAGCCUGCCAUUAUGCCUAGUGAGCAGCUGGCAGAUCCAACAAUGCUGCUUGCUUAUAAUAAUAAUUAAUAAUCAUCUGCCCUUAAAUAGCAUUUUUCAUCCCCAGAUCUCUAAGUGCUCUGCACAACCUUAAAGCAUUACUAAUUCCUUUUUACAGAUGGGACUCUCUGAAGUUAAGAUCCCACAGCAAGUCAGUGGCCGUCAGGACCAGACGCCUUGUCUUCCGACUCCUAUCCCUCUGCUCACAUCCGCUAGAUGACAAUUACCCUUCCAGUUUAAUGCCCGUCUUAACUUUCAUUCACAAACACCAAGAAGGCAAAGAGAAAACAGAAGGUUUAAGUAUUUAGUAUGAAGAUUGAUUGUUUUUCAGGAAUUUCAAGCUGUGUAGCAGUGAUGUUCACUUUCAUUGGCUCUCUCUUUUGGGUAAUGAAAGUGAGUGCAACAAGGAAGACACACUCCCUAGAUGGGAAUCUCUGAAUCGGCUGCAUUCCAGCUCUGCAAAUACCUUCCAUUGGCCUUUCUUACAGAGCAUAUGAUGCCAUGGCCAUGACCCACACAGAGGCUUACUCACAGCAUGUACGUGAUGACGCCUACACUCCACAUGUCAGUUGGGAACGAAACAAAGUCAUAGUUCACCACUUCGGGAGCCAGGAAUUCAGGAGUGCCAAAAUUAACUUUCAGCUUCUCACGAGGUUUGUACCUUCAUCAGAAACAAGAAGGGGCAUCAGCACUAACAACAAAUUAAGUACAUGCACUGCACACUUGCAAAAAACUGUCAUUUUUUCAUACUGUAGCAAAGCCGGACAGGUACAUUCUAUAUCCAAGUCUUCAAAGAUGCAGAAUUUCAGCCUGUGCACAGAGAGUUUUUUUAUAAUUCACAGUCACUUCCAAUUAGUUUGAUCAAAUGUUUAAAUGAAUCAACCAUUUAAAUCUGAACAAAAUCAAAUAAACUAAAUCAUUUGUAUUAA